AUGGGGAAGGGCUACCACAAGAAGCUGGGCGUGAACAAGGCGGCCAUCGCCGGCACAGGCUCCGGGAAGGGCCAGGCCAUGCGCGGCGGGAACGGGGCCGGACCUUGUGGUGUGGGCUGGGGAUCAGGCCGGUCGACGUUCUCUGCCACCGACCAUAGCACCUUCCAGACGGUAAGCUGGCAAACUUACCGAUCAGUAACCAUUACGCGUUCUUCCAAGGCGGCCACCGCCGGUGAAGGAAAGGGCAAGGGCGCCGGCGGCGGCUACUCUAAGCGCUCGGGAGGCAGAACAGGCGUGGGAUCUGAUGGCCCGAGAGGAGGCGCGGUCAAGGCCGGCCCCCGAGGAGGGAAGGGAGCAGGUGGUGGCGGCCGGGGAGGCGCGCCGACAUUCUCUGCCACCGGCCAUGGCACCUUGCAGACGGACAUGCAUGCCACGAAUGAGUACUACGACUGUUCGUCUGAGCACGGUGUGUCAUUCUCUCGCACCCACCAUGGCACCUUUGAGACUGACCAUGGCACCUUUGACACGGCCGCGGAGACCAUGAAUGAGUACUACGAUGAGGAGGAGGACCUUGGUUUGCCCCUGGUUGAGGGCGGAGAUCAGGAUAAUGCAGGCCAGCACGAUGCUGAAUUUCUGUGUGAUGAAGAAGGCGAGGGCGGUGAGAUCGGCGAUGAUGGCAAUGGAGGGGGUGGUGAUGACGACAUAGGCGGUGCUGGGAUUGGUGAUGACCUCUUCGAUGGCGAUGACUACUACGACAAUGACGUCGCCGGGGAUUUUGAUGGUGGCUAUGACUGGUGGUAG
rnacentral:rRNA from 1 species